rnacentral:tRNA from 1 species
GCCUCCAUCGUCUAGUGGUAGGAUGCUGCGUUCUCAGCGCGGGGACCGAGGUUCAAUUCCUCGUGGAGGCA